rnacentral:rRNA from 1 species
GACGAACGCUGGCGGCGUGCUUAACACAUGCAAGUCGAACGGGAAGGCCCUGCUUUUGUGGGGUGCUCGAGUGGCGAACGGGUGAGUAACACGUGAGUAACCUGCCCUUGACUUUGGGAUAACUUCAGGAAACUGGGGCUAAUACCGGAUAGGAGCUCCUGCUGAAUGGCGGGGGUUGGAGAGUUUCGGCGGUUGGGGAUGGACUCUCGGCUUAUCAGCUUGUUGGUGGGGUAGUGGCUUACCAAGGCUUUGACGGGUAGCCGGCCUGAGAGGGUGACCGGCCACAUUGGGACUGAGAUACGGCCCAGACGGCUACGGGAGGCAGCAGUGGGGAAUAUUGCACAAUGGUCGGAAGCCUGAUGCAGCAACGCCGCGUGCGGGAUGACGGCCUUCGAGUUGUAAACCGCUUUCGCCUGUGACGAAGCGUGAGUGACGGUAAUGGGUAAAGAAGCACCGGCUAACUACGUG